rnacentral:rRNA from 1 species
AUUGAACGCUGGCGGCAGGCCUAACACAUGCAAGUCGAACGGAUCCUUCGGGAUUAGUGGCGGACGGGUGAGUAACACGUGGGAACGUGCCCUUUGGUUCGGAACAACUCAGGGAAACUUGAGCUAAUACCGGAUGUGCCCUUCGGGGGAAAGAUUUAUCGCCAUUGGAGCGGCCCGCGUCUGAUUAGCUAGUUGGUGGGGUAAAGGCCCACCAAGGCGACGAUCAGUAGCUGGUCUGAGAGGAUGAUCAGCCACAUUGGGACUGAGACACGGCCCAAACUCCUACGGGAGGCAGCAGUGGGGAAUCUUGCGCAAUGGGCGAAAGCCUGACGCAGCCAUGCCGCGUGAAUGAUGAAGGUCUUAGGAUUGUAAAAUUCUUUCACCGGGGACGAUAAUGACGGUACCCGGAGAAGAAGCCCCGGCUAACUUCGUGCCAGCCGCCGCAGUAACAC